rnacentral:rRNA from 1 species
AGAGUUUGAUCAUGGCUCAGAACGAACGCUGGCGGCGUGCUUAACACAUGCAAGUCGAACGAGAAAUUCAGCCUUCGGGCAGAAGAGUAAAGUGGCGCACGGGUGAGUAACGCGUAGGUAAUCUAUCCUUAUAUUCGGGAUAACUCUUCGAAAGGGGUGCUAAUACCGGAUACACUUUAUUACUGUAGGGAAAUAAAGGAAAGGUGGCCUCUGAAAUAAGCUACUGUAUAGGGAGGAGCCUGCGUACCAUUAGCUGGUUGGUGGGGUAAUGGCCUACCAAGGCAACGAUGGUUAGCGGGUCUGAGAGGAUGAUCCGUCACACUGGCACUGGAACACGGGCCAGACUCCUACGGGAGGCAGCAGUGAGGAAUAUUGCGCAAUGGGGGCAACCCUGACGCAGCGACGCCGCGUGAGUGAGGAAGGCUUUCGAGUCGUAAAGCUCUGUCAGAAGGGAAGAAGUGCAUUAUGGUUAAUACCCAUAGUGUUGACGGUA